GAGUUUGAUCAUGGCUCAGGAUGAACGCUGGCGGCGUGCCUAAUACAGCAAGUCGAACGAGGCCCUUUCUCUUCGGAGGAAGGUGUCCUAGUGGCGAACGGGUGAGUAACACGUUGGUGACCUGCCCCGAAGCGGGGGAUAACUGUUCGAAAGAGCAGCUAAUACCCCAUGUGAUCCUAGGAGUUAGAGGUCCUUGGAUUAAAGGAGCAAUCCACUUUGGGAGGGGCCUGCGGCCCAUCAGCUAGUUGGUAGGGUAAUGGCCUACCAAGGCGACGACGGGUAGGGGACCUGAGAGGGUGAUCCCCCACACUGGGACUGAGACACGGCCCAGACACCUACGGGUGGCAGCAGUAGGGAAUCUUGCACAAUGGGCGAAAGCCUGAUGCAGCAACGCCGCGUGGAGGAAGAAGGCCUUCGGGUUGUAAACUCCUUUUCGGGGGGAUGAGGAAGGACAGUACCCCCGGAAUAAGUCUCGGCUAACUACGUGCCAGCAGCCGCGGUAAUAC
rnacentral:rRNA from 1 species